CCUCUGUGCUUUGAAUACAUGAGGGUGCUCACAGCUGAACUGAUCGCCAUGGUUACAGGCAAUCUGUGUGUUACAUCUCCUGGAAGCAAAAAAGAGGGUAGUUUAAGGAUGAAGUACAAACUUAACACGGACACUCCACACUGUAGUCUCGACCUGACUUUCAGUUCAUCUCUCUCCUUCUUCCUGGGCAGUCAACUUCUGCAAACCUAAACUGAACAAUGCCAUUCCUGAAGCUUGCUGUGCUUUUUCAUGUGCAGACGCUGUUCCCUUUGUCUGGAAGCCGCUUCCCAUGGCUGCUUAGCACAAGGCAUGUGCUGGUGAUUCUCUGUUGUCUCAGCGAACACUUACUUUAUUCAUCUGUCCAUUUACUCAACCUCCACACAUCCUUGAAGACCCAGUUGUACAGUUCGGGUCCCUGGCGGGAGUUGAGACAGAAACUUUGGGCUCCUCUGGCCCUCCUGAAACUUCUAAGUGAAGCCACAGAAAAUUCCAAAAGAUUUUUAUUUUGGGGGCUGGUGCUGUGGCGCAGAGUGUUAAUGCCCUGGUCUGAAGUGCCAGCAUCCCAUAUGGGCACUGGUUCGAGACCCGGCUGCUCCACUUGUGAUCCAGCUCUCUGCUAUGGCCUGGGAAAGCAGUGGAGGAUGGCCCAAGUCCUUGGGCCCCUGAACCAGUAUGGGAGACCUGCUAGAAGCUCCUGGCUCCUGGCUCCUGGCUUCGGAUUGGCACAGCUCUGGCUGUUGUGGUCAAUUGGAGAGUGA
rnacentral:lncRNA from 1 species